CUGCAUGGAGCCGACCUUGAAAUACCACCCUUUAAUGUUUGAUGUUCUAACGUGGACCCGUGAUCCGGGUUGCGGACAGUGUCUGGUGGGUAGUUUGACUGGGGCGGUCUCCUCCUAAAGAGUAACGGAGGAGCACGAAGGUUGGCUAAUCCUGGUCGGACAUCAGGAGGUUAGUGCAAUGGCAUAAGCCAGCUUGACUGCGAGCGUGACGGCGCGAGCAGGUGCGAAAGCAGGUCAUAGUGAUCCGGUGGUUCUGAAUGGAAGGGCCAUCGCUCAACGGAUAAAAGGUACUCCGGGGAUAACAGGCUGAUACCGCCCAAGAGUUCAUAUCGACGGCGGUGUUUGGCACCUCGAUGUCGGCUCAUCACAUCCUGGGGCUGAAGUAGGUCCCAAGGGUAUGGCUGUUCGCCAUUUAAAGUGGUACGCGAGCUGGGUUUAGAACGUCGUGAGACAGUUCGGUCCCUAUCUGCCGUGGGCGCUGGAGAACUGAGGGGGGCUGCUCCUAGUACGAGAGGACCGGAGUGGACGCAUCACUGGUGUUCGGGUUGUCAUGCCAAUGGCACU
rnacentral:rRNA from 2 species